rnacentral:rRNA from 1 species
UACGUAGGGGGCAAGCGUUGUCCGGAAUCAUUGGGCGUAAAGCGCGCGUAGGCGGCUAGAUCAGUCUGCUGUAAAAGUCAAAGGCUCAACCUUUGAAAGCCGGUGGAUACUGUCUAGCUAGAGUCCGGAAGAGGAGAGUGGAAUUCCUGGUGUAGCGGUGAAAUGCGCAGAUAUCAGGAAGAACACCCGUGGCGAAGGCGGCUCUCUGGGACGGUACUGACGCUGAGACGCGAAAGCGUGGGGAGCGAACAGG